GCAUUAUACGGCGAACUGCGAAUGGCUCAUUAUAUAAGUUAUCGUUUAUUUGAUAGUACCUUACUACUUGGAUAACCGUGGUAAUUCUAGAGCUAAUACAUGCUAAAAAUCCCGACUUCGGAAGGGAUGUAUUUAUUAGAUUAAAAACCAAUGCCCUCUGGGCUCCUUGGUGAUUCAUGAUAACUCUUCGAAUCGCACGGCCUUGCGCCGGCGAUGGUUCAUUCAAAUUUCUUCCCUAUCAACUUUCGAUGUUUGGGUAUUGGCCAAACAUGGUUGCAACGGGUAACGGAGGGUUAGGGCUCGACCCCGGAGAAGGAGCCUGAGAAACGGCUACUACAUCCAAGGAAGGCAGCAGGCGCGCAAAUUACCCAAUCCCGAUUCGGGGAGGUAGUGACAAUAAAUACUGAUACAGGGCUCUUUUGGGUCUUGUAAUUGGAAUGAGUACAAUUUAAAUCUCUUAACGAGGAACAAUUGGAGGGCAAGUCUGGUGCCAGCAGCCGCGGUAAUUCCAGCUCCAAUAGCGUAUAUUAAAGUUGUUGUGGUUAAAAAGCUCGUAGUUGAACCUUGGGCCUGGCUGGCCGGUCCGCCUCACCGCGUGCACUGGUCCGGCCGGGCCUUUCCCUCUGUGGAACCCCAUGCCCUUCACUGGGCGUGGCGGGGAAACAGGACGUUUACUUUGAAAAAAUUAGAGUGCUCCAGGCAGGCCUAUGCUCGAAUACAUUAGCAUGGAAUAAUGAAAUAGGACGCGUGGUUCUAUUUUGUUGGUUUCUAGGACCGCCGUAAUGAUUAAUAGGGACAGUCGGGGGCAUCAGUAUUCAAUUGUCAGAGGUGAAAUUCUUGGAUUUAUUGAAGACUAACUACUGCGAAAGCAUUUGCCAAGGAUGUUUUCAUUAAUCAGGAACGAAAGUUAGGGGAUCGAAGACGAUCAGAUACCGUCGUAGUCUUAACCAUAAACUAUGCCGACUAGGGAUCGGACGAUGUUAUUUUUUGACGCGUUCGGCACCUUACGAGAAAUCAAAGUGCUUGGGCU
rnacentral:rRNA from 1 species